UAAGACGAAGGUGGGGAGCGUUACUCGGAAUUACUGGGCAUAAAGCGCGCGUAGGCGGCUCGGUCAGUCGAGGGUGAAAGCCCGUGGCUCAACCACGGAAUUGCCUCCGAUACUGCCGGGCUUGAGGCUAGGAGAGGUCACCGGAACUCCAGGUGUAGCGGUGAAAUGCGUAGAUAUCUGGAGGAACACCAGAGGCGAAGGCGGGUGACUGGACUGGUACUGACGCUGAGGCGCGAAAGCUAGGGGAGCAAACAGGAUUAGAUACCCUGGUAGUCCUAGCUGUAAACGAUGGGCACUAGGCUGCGGAGGUCCGAUGCCGUCGCAGCUGGAGCAAAUGUUUUAAGUGCCCCGCCUGGGGAGUACGGCCGCAAGGCUG
rnacentral:rRNA from 1 species